UGCGGAGUGUUGGGUUAAGUCCGCACGAGCGCACCUUGUUACUAGUUGCCAGCACAUAAUGGUGGGCACUCUAGUGAGACUGCCGGGGUUAACCCGGAGGAAGGUGGGGACGACGUCAAGUCAUCAUGGCCCUUACGCCUAGGGCUACACACGUACUACAAUGGCGCGCACAGAGGGUUGCUACGUCGCAAGGCCAAUCCCUAAAAACGCGUCCCAGUCCGGAUUGCAGUCUGCAACUCGACUGCAUGAAGUUGGAAUCGCUAGUAAUCCCGGAUCAGCAUGCCGGGGUGAAUACGUUCCCGGGCCUU
rnacentral:rRNA from 1 species